AGCUUUGCACAGUGGCAGUAUUGUACCCAAUGAUGUUUAUCUGAGACACGAUUAUUGCUAAUUGGAAGCCCAGUGUUUCUUAUGAUAUGCUGCAUAUGAUACUUUAUUUUUGACACUAUUUUCUAUGCAAAUG